rnacentral:lncRNA from 1 species
UCUUACCAAGAGACAGAUACAUUUGGUGACUUAGCGAGUAGCUAAAUGAGGCAGAAGAUGAUGCAAUGGGUGUCUGAAUGGCCAAUAUCUCCUCACUUGGUAGAACUUGACUUUCAUUUCUCACUUGUUGAUAGGGUUUAACCAUAUGGGGGUUCCCUUGGUAUGUCCUUGCUUCGGCAGAGGCGUGGUUGUAAGCCUGUG